UUGAAUUGGAGAUAAUGAAACUACAUCGCAAAGGUACUCCAUUUUUUUGGCUAAAAUGAUCAAAUUAAUGUAGAAGAAAAAAGAGACAUGGGAACAGAAACGUGAGGCAAGUGUCUGGUAUGGGAAGAAAGUGAAAGUCACGAGGCUGCCAAGAACUUCUCCUUGCUUUGGCAAAAAUUCUGGAUUUCAUCAGAAAAAUCAAGAACAAGACUUGGGAAGGCCAGAAUCAGAAGAAAAUUUUCAGGGAGGGACUUUUGCAAACAGACAUCAUGAAGGCCACAAAACCCGGGGUGCAAGGAAGAAUGGAGAAAUGACAGUAACAAAUCUUUGUGGGACAGAGCCAUCACUCAAUUAUAUCAACAGAUCCCUGACAACAUACAAGGGAGAGAGCAAGACGCGUGUCCACAGCAAUCACAGGGAAGGGUUGCGUUCCAAGCGGUGGAAGGCUGUGCUGCCUGAAACUGAAUGCCUUCCAUGAGUGACUGGGAAAGGACAAUCACUAUUACAAUGACAAAUCAGUCUCCAGCUUUCCAGAAAAACCUCUGUUUUAGGCUAAAGAGAAAAUAAGUAGUGUUUCAGUCUGGCUGCUCAUGCAGGAAUUGAAAAAUACACCAGCAGUAAUGAAAUUGACCUUAAAAUUAAGUAAAUGAAUCUUAAUGUUCCAGAGCUCAGUUUCCCCACAAACUUCUCUUCUGUACAGAAUUUCCUAUCCCACUUAACAGUCUUCUCAGAGCAGGAAUUCUCUAGUUCCUACAUUUUCUCCCUUGGAAUGCCUUAAUCUUCUUUCCAGAAACAAGCAUCAAAACCCUUUGGUCCUCAAGCAUCGUUCCACCAAGAGUGACUGAGGCACAGCCUCAGGACACACAGCCCCAAGCCAUUUCCAACUUGGACCCCCUCCAGGAAUGCAUCCCUGUCGGCAGAGCAUCCAGCACGUUCGCACUCCAGCCCAUUUCAAGGAGCAAACUUGAGGCCAUCUCAAAGCCAAAGUCAUGACCCAGACCUUCUGUCCUGGAGAAAGGCUUCGCAGCCCCGUGCUGAAGGAAAGGCCCCGAAGUCUGUGAAAAAUGGAGAAUGAAGAGCAGGCACCUACCUGGGUUGACCCUCGACUUCCACCUCUUCCCACCUUCCCCGUUUCUUUCUCCACUCAUUUUUUUUUCCACUUUUAAACAUCCAACUUUGCCUUGGGGAUGAACAGAAUGAAAUGUCACUUACCUAUAAAAAGAGAGACAGGAGAAAAGUCAUGCAUCACAUUACACACAAGUGCUUUGAAAUCAAGGCUGGCUUCUGACUUUGAAACUGUUAACAAUGAGCGAAUAAUAUUUUUUUAUUCCACCUUUCUAUAUUUAAUGAAACUCAGGAUCUCGCAGGAAGCCCAUCCCAGGGGCCCAGGCUCCCUUCACCUUUUUUCCUUUUGUUUCGAGGCUGCUUGAUAUCCUCUUUCCCACUCUCACCUCAACCUGCCUGACCUUCUCUGCAUGAGGGAAUAAGGGUGAGAGGCACAGACCACAGAGGCCGUCACACAGAUGUGGCACUGAGGUCACCAAAUGCUACAAGUAUUUUUUUGUCACAGGUGAUGGAAGUGGUAGGGACUAAGGAUCAGGGCCAACCUAGCUGCUUGGGACAGGCAGGUUCAACUCCCCACAGGCAAGGUGACCCUCAACCCAAUAGCUUUAGGAUCUCUUCAAACAGCUUUGGCUCUAGAGACCUCUCCUGUCUUCCUCUCUAUUUCACUCUGAGUGGUUCAUCUUUGAAUGAAUUCUUCUCUCUCCCCCUCUGUCCAGAAUCAUCAGUAAUGCCCACUGCUCAGACUUGCUUGGAAUGAACUUGCCCAUUAUUGCAUGAUCCAUACUGCCCAGUCCCCUGCCUCAAAGCAAGACCCAACGGACCCAUCCUAAUCCUAAGAAAAUAUUUUCUUGAGAUGCAAUUAAGACACCUAGCCUGGCUCCUGUUCCCCAAAGCACUUCUUGUUCACAUGGCAAGUUCUCCGUGGCCUGAGAUCAUUUUAUUCAGGUUUCAAGAGAAGUUGUAUUCAGGAAUGCCCAACAGCAGAAGAGCUACCCAAUGUCCCAACACGCGCACAUAUUGAAAAACAGAUUUCAGUGGUCUGCCAGAAUCUUCUUCAUAUGCCUAGAUACCACAAUUCUUUUUGCUCUUUUUUUAUUUUAGUCUUCCAUCCUUUCUCUGAGGCCCUCUAAAGAAAAAGACCCCAGAGCUCAGCACUGGGCAGAAAGGUCAGUCCAUCCUCCUUGACCGAGGCUGUGACAACAUUCCCAUUUCCCACUUAGGAUGCUCCAUAAACACGCAGCCAUGGCCACAUGUAUUUAGGAAGUGCUUUCUCCUCCAAGCAAGUCACUGUAUCAGUGGGUGACUUAGAAAUGGUCUGAGACAGACAGUCGGUCCCACGGUCUUCAGAAGAAUAUUUGCCUCAGAACUGUUUCUGCCUAUAUAUAAAUAAAAAUACUUUGCUUCAACAAAA